GCCAGUGUGAUGUAGUGGUUUGGGCAUUGGACUAUGACUCUGGGGAUCAGGGUUCAAAUCCCUGCUUGAGCC